ACUAUGUCUGGGAGUGGCACACUGCUCAGUAACACGUAGCUAACCUACCCUUUAGGACGUGGAUACCCCCGAGAAAUUGGGGUUAAUCCGCGAUAGAUGUAAUGUCCUGGAAUGGUAUUACGUCUAAAGGUAUUUCAUACAUGUUUGAAAUAUGCCUAAGGAUGGGGCUGCGGCCGAUCAGGCUGUUGGUGAGGUAAUGGCUCACCAAACCUUUGACCGGUACGGGCCAUGAGAGUGGUAGCCCGGAGAUGGACACUGAGACAAGGGUCCAGGCCCUAAGGGGCGCAGCAACCGCGAAACCUCCACAAUGCACUCACGUGCGAUGGGGCUAUCUCGAGUGCCACCUGAUGAAGGUGGCUUUUCCUUGGUCUUCAAAGCCUUGGGAAUAAGAGGGGGGCAAGACUGGUGUCAGCCGCCGCGGUAACACCAGCCCCUCGAGUGGUGGGGAUGAUUAUUUGGCCUAAAGCGUCCGUAGCCGGCCGAGCAAGUCUUCCGUUAAAUCCAGCGUCUCAAGCGUUGGGCUGCGGGAGAUACUACACGGCUAGAGAGUGGGAGAGGUCAGCGGUAUUCUGGGGGUAGGGGCGAAAUCCUUUGAUCCCCGGAGGACCACCAGUGGCGAAGGCUGCUGACUAGAACACGUCUGACGGUCAGGGACGAAAGCUGGGGUAGCGAACCGGAUUAGAUACCCGGGUAGUCCCAGCCGUAAACGAUGCAUGCUAGGUGUUGGGUUGGCCACGAGCCACCCCAGUGCCGCAGGGAAGCCGUUAAGCAUGCCGCCUGGGAAGUACGAUCGCAAGAUUGAAACUUAAAGGAAUUGGCGGGGGAGCACCACCAGGCGUGAAGCCUGCGGUUUAAUUGGAGUCAACGCCGGA
rnacentral:rRNA from 1 species